rnacentral:rRNA from 1 species
AUUGAACGCUGGCGGCAUGCCUUACACAUGCAAGUCGAACGGUAACAGGUCUUCGGAUGCUGACGAGUGGCGAACGGGUGAGUAAUACAUCGGAACGUGCCCGAUCGUGGGGGAUAACGAAGCGAAAGCUUUGCUAAUACCGCAUACGAUCUACGGAUGAAAGCAGGGGACCGCAAGGCCUUGCGCGAACGGAGAGGCCGAUGGCAGAUUAGGUAGUUGGUGGGAUAAAAGCUUACCAAGCCGACGAUCUGUAGCUGGUCUGAGAGGACGACCAGCCACACUGGGACUGAGACACGGCCCAGACUCCUACGGGAGGCAGCAGUGGGGAAUUUUGGACAAUGGGCGAAAGCCUGAUCCAGCCAUGCCGCGUGCAGGAUGAAGGCCUUCGGGUUGUAAACUGCUUUUGUACGGAACGAAAAGACUCUGGUUAAUACCUGGGGUCCAUGACGGUACCGUAAGAAUAAGCACCGGCUAACUACGUG